rnacentral:misc_RNA from 1 species
AAAAUUCAAAAGAUUAUUAAGCAUUAUUAUUUUUGGUGAAUCUUUGAUAUAAGAUAUACCAACGGGUUUCUUGUUAAGCAAAAUUUAAUGUAUUUUGUUCCUAAUAGUUGGCAACACCAGCCCGUGACGUCACACAAAGAGUUUGUUUUUCCCUAAUCAAGUGAAUCAUCCAUAAAGAGAAAAUUAUUGUAAAUAGUGGACACUGACUGAAUUCAGCUACAGGUGACAAGAUGUUCUCCAGUGGCCCCAACUAUAACAAACUCAAGACAAAUCUGCGCCUAGCGCAGAAUCGUCUCAAGUUGCUAGAAAAAAAGAAGGCGGAGCUCACGCAAAAGUCCCGCAAGGAAAUUGCCGACUACCUCGCCACAGGUAAAAUAGAACGGGCACGCAUACGAGUGGAGCAUAUUAUACGUGAGGAUUAUCUGGUAGAGGCCAUGGAAAUUGUGGAAAUGUACUGCGAUCUGUUGCUGGCACGCUUUGGCUUGAUACAGCAAAUGAAGGAACUGGAUGCUGGCAUAGCCGAGCCGGUGUCGAGCCUUGUUUGGGUGUGCCCUCGCUUGCAGAGCGACAUUGGCGAGCUGAAGGUCAUCUCUGACAUCUUUGUCCAUAAGUAUGGGCCACAGUUUGCGGAGCAUUCGCGCACCGCCACUGGCGAGCAUUUUGUCUCGGAGAAGCUGAUGCACAAGCUGACGCUCCAGGCGCCGCCCAAGCUGCUUGUGGAGAACUACUUAAUAGCCAUUGCCAAGAACUACAACAUCGAAUACGAGCCUGAUCCACAGGUCAUGCAGGAGGAGCAAAAGCCCGAUCAGCAGCAUCAUCUAAUCGAUUUGUCAGAUCGCAAUAAUCUUAGUGGUGGCGGCGGCGGCGGCGGAGGCGCGCCUGCUCCACCCCAAAUGGGCUUCAUUGGCUACCCAGCAAUGCCACAGCUGCCAGACAUGCCAGUGCCGCCCAGCAGUAAGCCAUUUAACUAUCCGCCCUUCGGUGGCAGCGGCGGCGGCGGUGGUGGUGGUGGUGGUGUUGGUGGAGGAGCCUGUGCCGCUCCAUCUCCCGUUCAGCCGCCGCCACCAUUUGCAUAUAAUAUACCGCCCAAUCAGCCGCCGGCAUCGACUUCGGCGCAGGGCAAGUGCGCAGAAGAAAAGGAUUUGAAUACGAAUUUUAUAAAUCACGAAACUAAAACCAACAACGGUGAGUCGGAUGGCUCUGGCAGUCCGGACGAGAACAUUUUGAGAACACAAUGAGUCAUGGUCGUGGUGUCAGCUUUCUAUUCUUCCUGCUAUCGCCGCUUAUGAUUAUAUAUGAUUUCAUUAUUUAUGAUUUUAUUUACUGAACUUUUUAUUUUGCAUAACAGCGCCCCAAACCGCAAAAUGAUCCACCGCCACGUUACUCCUCGAUUAAUCCCGUUAAUUUGCAGAAUGCCAACAAACCGAAACCUCAA